rnacentral:rRNA from 1 species
GCUGGAUUCGCUAGUAAUCGCGCAUCAGCCAUGGCGCGGUGAAUACGUUCCCGGGCCUUGUACACACCGCCCGUCAAGCCAUGGAAGCCGGGGGCGCUUGAAGUGCGUUGCCGCAAGGCGCGCCCUAGAGCGAAACCGGUGACUGGGGCUAAGUCGUAACAAGGUACC